rnacentral:rRNA from 1 species
AGAGUUUGAUCCUGGCUCAGAAUCAACGCUGGCGGCGUGCCUCAGACAUGCAAGUCGAACGCGAAAGUCCCCUUCGGGGGACAAGUAGAGUGGCGCACGGGUGAGUAACACGUAGGUAAUCUACCUUCGGAUGGGGAAUAACAACCGGAAACGGUUGCUAAUACCGCAUAAUGCAGCGGCACCUAAUGGUGACAGUUGUUAAAGCGGGGGAUCGUAAGACCUCGCGUCUGAAGAGGAGCCUGCGGCAGAUUAGCUAGUUGGUAAGGUAAUGGCUUACCAAGGCGAUGAUCUGUAGCCGGCCUGAGAGGGCGGUCGGCCACACUGACACUGACAUACGGGUCAGACUCCUACGGGAGGCAGCAGUCGGGAAUUUUGGGCAAUGGGCGAAAGCCUGACCCAGCAACGCCGCGUGAAGGAUGAAAUCCCUCGGGAUGUAAACUUCGCAAGAACGGGAAGAAUAAGUAAGAGCCAAUAACUCUUACGAUGACGGUACUGUUUGUAAGCUCCGGCUAACUCCGUGCCAGCAGCCGCGGUAAUACGGGGGGAGCAAGCGUUGUUCGGAUUUACUGGGCGUAAAGGGCGCGUAGGCGGCCACCGCAAGUUAGUUGUGAAAUCUCUGGGCUUAACCCUGAAAGGUCAACUGAUACUGCGGGGCUAGAGUGCAGAAGGGGCAACUGGAAUUCUCGGUGUAGCGGUGAAAUGCGUAGAUAUCGAGAGGAACACCUGCGGCGAAAGCGGGUUGCUGGGCUGACACUGACGCUGAAGCGCGAAAGCUAGGGGAGCGAACGGGAUUAGAUACCCCGGUAGUCCUAGCCUUAAACGAUGAAUGCUUGGUGUCUGGGGUUUAUAGUCCCCGGGUGCCGUCGCUAACGCUUUAAGCAUUNCGCCU